CCUACGGGAGGCAGCAGUGAGGAAUAUUGGUCAAUGGACGAGAGUCUGAACCAGCCAAGUAGCGUGAAGGAUGACUGCCCUAUGGGUUGUAAACUUCUUUUAUAAAGGAAUAAAACGAGGCACGUGUGCCUUUUUGCAUGUACUUUAUGAAUAAGGAUCGGCUAACUCCGUGCCAGCAGCCGCGGUAAUACGGAGGAUCCGAGCGUUAUCCGGAUUUAUUGGGUUUAAAGGGAGCGUAGAUGGGUUGUUAAGUCAGUUGUGAAAGUUUGCGGCUCAACCGUAAAAUUGCAAUUGAUACUGGCAGUCUAGAGUACAGUCGAGGUAGGCGGAAUUCGUGGAGUAGCGGUGAAAUGCUUAGAUAUCGCGCAGAACCCCGAUUGCGAAGGCAGCGUACCGGCUCCACACUGACGCUGAGGCACGAAAGCGUGGGGAUCGAACAGGAUUAGAUACCCCAGUAGUC
rnacentral:rRNA from 1 species